AUCAAGACUGGGAUUUGUCACUCCGUGUGACAGAGAGGUAUCUCGGGGCCCACUCGGUAAUACAACAUCACAUAUAGGCCUUGCAAGCAAUGUGACUAAAGUGUUAGUCACGGGAUCUUGUAUUAUGGAACGAGUAAAGAGACUUGCCGAUAAAGAGAUUGAAAUAGGUAUAGGGAUACCAACGAUCAAAUCUCGGGCAAGUAACAUACUGUUGGGGAUAUUACCUGCGGUAUGGCCAGCCCUAAUGGGCCAGGUCAGGAAAGUGGCGACUCUUACAUACAUGACCAACAUAAGCCUUGGUUUGGGCCUGGGGUGUGUUGGGAGAUCUUGUAAGAAGGCCGCCACGGCCAAUGAACCAGAUGGUGGUUCAAGAAUGACAAACAAGAUAAGCCGCCAAGGAGUUUUCCUUGGCUUGAGGUACAGGACGACUUAGAAUAAGGAAGGCCACAAUUUGUAACAUGGCCAGGACUUUGUAAACCCUGGGGCCUCGACCUGUAUAUAAAGGUGAGUCUCUGGGACUGAUAGAUCAACUUAGAAAUCAUCGAGAGCUAGGUCAGGCGAGUUACGCCCUCCUUGUAAUCGAAUCCACCAUCAA
rnacentral:lncRNA from 1 species